CUCUCUAAAGAGCUUAUCAAUGUACACAGGUGCAGGCUUCUUGUGGAACCCCAAGAUCAAACUUCUGACUGAGGCUAACCUUUUGUGGCGAAGAAAACGUUUGGUAACAAUGAACUUAGGAGGUGCCUUGGAGGUAGCAAGUUUGGUGGUAGGUUUUGAAUGCUUUCUGGGUUUCUUCAUGGCUUUGGAUUUGGACUUACUUAGUUUACCAAUUGUAGAAGUGAAGCUCUUCCAUGCCUUUCUAGCAGGUCGAAGCCUUAGCCUUAGCUUUAGGCUUAUGCAGGAUUUCAUGAUUGGAGAGGAGAGAGCAAUGCUUCAAAUCAGAUGGAAACUUGGUUCUUUUAUAACAUACAUGUAUAAUGGGUUAGAUUCUUCUCCUUUUUCAGUGUCAUGUUGCAGAAUGGUAUAUUACUGUUAUCAUAUAAGGUGGGCUAUGCUGUGCAUGGUGGCUUAGUUAUUACGCGCUGAAUAUUUUUGACAAUAAGAGCAUAAAGCAGCACCACCAAAGAGCUAGCUUGCUUAAUUAUUAAGCUGACAUUAACUUAAAACUAGAAUCUACUUUUUUACUACACAUUUGUUAAUGGUUUACAUUAUUUACCUUUUAAAACUCAGAUUCUAAGGUUGCGUCGAAAAUUCCACAGCAUAAUAUAUACGAAAUAUUAAUAUUGUUGUAAAAAGGAUUUGAGAAUCUCACCAUAUAUUGCAUCCUCUGUUUCCAGCUACGGUUUUAAUUUACUUCAACCCCUCGUAAUCAUGAUAUGUAUUAGUAUAAUAACAGGCUAACGUGUUUUUCUACACGAGUGUUUCAUUCUUCUUUUGUUAAAAAGGAAUAGUAAUAAUUAAGAGUUUAUAUGAACAUUCAAGUAUUGUAGAUGAAAAUAACAUGAUUGAAGAAGAAGAAUAGCAUGGUUAUAUAAAUAACAAUAAAGAGUUUAUACUACUAAUUUAUAACUAUAUAUUUGGUUUCCCCUGUUGUUAAAUAUUAGCACAAAUUUAUUCAAGUUUCUCUUUCUCCUUAU
rnacentral:lncRNA from 1 species